CAUUAUCUUUUAUAUAUAUCUCACUAAGGUUGUUUUAUUUUGCAAAAAUUCUCAAGCAUUCUUACUUUGCAUUUAUUGCCUGAUCAAAACGGGAUCCGAGGAGGGAAAUGUCAUACUCUUAGAUCAAAGACUUUGGAAAUUAAAAACUUUGUCAUCUCUUGCUGGCAUAUUGCUUAUUAGAGGGACCAUGGGCUAUCAUUUUUUUUAAGUGGAUACCGAGGUACCCCAAAUUCUACUGCCGGACACUUGUCCAUUUUUUUCUGCGAGGUUGUCGAGCACUUGCUCCUUUUUAUUUCCUCGAAAUAUCUCUAUUUUUGUAUAGCCCAUGCCUCUAAUGCAAUAAUACUUCGGAAGAGUGAAUCUUUCUGAAAUAAUGUCUUGAUCUUAGGAGCAUGAUAAAUCUCUCAACAAGGGUCUAACUCAUUUUGAACAAACUCAAUACAGAGUAGAUAGGUUUUAUAAUCAUAAUUAGUAUUUUCAGUUUUGUCAGGCAUAUAAAACACUGAGGAUGGUAGCUAGAAUUUUGAAUAUUUUGAAAUAAAUUCUCCAAGCAACAAUGAUAUCAAGAAUAAGAAACUCAUACUCUAUCAUCACAUAUUCCAAUUGACUUAAGUAACACAGGGUUUUAAAAUGAUUUUAUAAUAAUUGCAAGUUUUCAGGAAAUAUCAU
rnacentral:lncRNA from 1 species